GUUCCGCUGUGGCCUUCGCCAACGGGCUGCGACAGCGUGUCCACACAAUGCGGACUUCGCAGAUAGCUGGACGAAAAUAAAAAUUCAAAGUCGGAAUGUCAGAGUCGGAAUUUCAGAAGACUGGCUACCUCUAUCUAGAGUGCAAAGAAAAACAACGAAGCCACGCGUCUCGAUUGCAAUGAGGUUUCUCACUUUGCUCUGCUUCCUUUGCCUUGUUUUGGAUAGUUUUGCACUCAAAUUUAAUUUCCUCUGUCAUCUUGCUGGCAACCACUGCGUGCCAAAGGAUGACUGUCCCAAAGGCAAAAAGUCGUGGAUUAUUGGUUGCGGAAAAGGCCAAGUUUGUUGUAAAGUUGCGGCAAAAAAGCCUACGUGCUCGUCGUUGGGAGGAAGGUGCGAAGCAGUUUGCGGCGGUCGUGUCAACAGGAACGCCAGCUGCUCUGGACUCAAGGCGUGUUGCAUUUACAUGAGCUAGUGCGGAUGUGCCCCUGUUGGCCACCACACUCUACUCGACUGCACCGAGGGUCAGCGACGGUGGCAUGAGCUGUGUCGUCGUUUUUUUUUUUAUUUGGCUGGACAAUACGAAUAAAGCAUCGCAAAAUUCUAUGUA
rnacentral:lncRNA from 1 species